GACGAACGCUGGCGGCGUGCUUAACACAUGCAAGUCGAACGGAAAGGCCCUGCUUUUGUGGGGUGCUCGAGUGGCGAAGGGGGAAGUAACACGUGAGUACCCUGUCAUUGACUGUGGGAUAACUUCAGGCAACUGGGGCUCAUACCAGAUAGGAGCUCUUGCUGCUGGGUGGGGGCUGGAUAGUUUCGGCGGUUGGUGAUGGACUCGCGGCGUAUCAGCUUGUUGGUGGGGUAGUGUCUUACCAAGGCUUUGCAGAGUAGCCGGCCUGAGCGGGUGACCGGACACACUGGGACUGAGAUAAGGCCCAGACUCCUACGGGACGCAGCAGUGGAGUAUAGUGUACUAUGGGAGGGAGCCUGAUGCAGCAACGCCGCGUGCGGUAUGUCGUCCUGCGGGUUGUAAUCCGCUUCCGCCUGUGACGAAGCGUGAGUGACGGUAAUGGGUAAAGAAGCACCGGCUAACUACGUG
rnacentral:rRNA from 1 species